rnacentral:rRNA from 1 species
AAUAUUGGACAAUGGGCGGGAGCCUGAUCCAGCCAUGCCGCGUGCAGGAAGAAUGCCCUAUGGGUAGUAAACUGCUUUUAUACGGGAAGAAAAAGGGCUACGUGUAGCCUACUGACGGUACCGUAAGAAUAAGGACCGGCUAACUCCGUGCCAGCAGCCGUGGUAAUACGGAGGGUCCGAGCGUUAUCCGGAAUUAUUGGGUUUAAAGGGUCCGUAGGCGGGCUAUUAAGUCAGUGGUGAAAGUCUGCAGCUCAACUGUAGAAUUGCCUUUGAUACUGAUAGUCUUGAGUUAUAGUGAAGUUGCCGGAAUAUGUAGUGUAGCGGUGAAAUGCAUAGAUAUUACAUAGAACACCGAUUGCGAAGGCAGGUGACUAACUGUAUACUGACGCUGAUGGACGAAAGCGUGGGGAGCGAACAGGAUUAGAUACCCUGGUAGUCCACGCCGUA